AACGAACGCUGGCGGCAUGCCUAACACAUGCAAGUCGAACGAGACCUUCGGGUCUAGUGGCGCACGGGUGCGUAACGCGUGGGAACCUGCCCUUAGGUUCGGAAUAACUCCCCGAAAGGGGUGCUAAUACCGGAUAAUGUCUUCGGACCAAAGAUUUAUCGCCUUUGGAUGGGCCCGCGUUGGAUUAGCUAGUUGGUAGGGUAAAAGCCUACCAAGGCGACGAUCCAUAGCUGGUCUGGGAGGAUGAUCAGCCACACUGGGACUGAGACACGGCCCAGACUCCUACGGGAGGCAGCAGUGGGGAAUAUUGGACAAUGGGCGGAAGCCUGAUCCAGCAAUGCCGCGUGAGUGAUGAAGGCCUUAGGGUUGUAAAGCUCUUUUACCCGGGAUGAUAAUGACAGUACCGGGAGAAUAAGCUCCGGCUAACUCCGUG
rnacentral:rRNA from 1 species